rnacentral:SRP_RNA from 1 species
GCUGGGCAUGGUGGCGCGUGCCUGUAAUCCCAGCUACUUAGGAGGCUGAGGCAGGAGAAUUGCCUGAACCCAGGAGGCGGAGGUUGCGGUGAGCCGAGAUCGCGCCAUUGCACUCCAGCCUGGGUAACAAGAGCGAAACUCCGUCUCAAAAAAAAAAAAAAAAAAAAAAAAAAAAAUUUUUUUUUGAGACAGUCUCGCUCUGUUGCCAGGCUGAAGUGCAGUGGCGUGAUCUCGGCUCACUGCAACCUCUGCCUCCUGGAUUGAAGCGAUUCUCCCACUU